rnacentral:rRNA from 1 species
GAUGAACGCUGGCGGCGUGCCUAAUACAUGCAAGUCGAACGAGGUGCUUUUGUAGCAAUACGAGAGUAUCCUAGUGGCGAACGGGUGAGUAACGCGUUGGUGACCUACCCCAAAGUGUGGGAUAACAGUCCGAAAGGAUUGCUAAUACCGCAUGUGGUCUUCGGAUUUAGAAACUGAUGACUAAAGGAGCAAUUCGCUUUGGGAGGGACCUGCGUCCCAUCAGCUAGUUGGUGAGGUAAUGGCUCACCAAGGCCACGACGGGUAGGGGACCUGAGAGGGUGACCCCCCACAAUGGAACUGAAACACGGUCCAUACACCUACGGGUGGCAGCAGUAGGGAAUAUUGCACAAUGGGCGAAAGCCUGAUGCAGCAACGCCGCGUGUGCGAUGAAGGCCUUCGGGUCGUAAAGCACUUUUCUGGGAGAUGAGCAAGGACAGUAUCUCAGGAAUAAGUCUCGGCUAACUACGUGCCAGCAGCCGCGGUAAU